rnacentral:rRNA from 1 species
CCUACGGGUGGCAGCAGUGGGGGAUAUUGCACAAUGGACGCAAGUCUGAUGCAGCGAUGCCGCGUGAGGGAAGAAGGUCUUCGGGUUGUAAAGCUCUGUCUUUGGGGAAGAAAAUGACGGUACGCAUAGCCGCAGCUAUGGCUAACUACGUGACAGCAGGCGCGGUACUACGUCGGGAGCGACCGUUGUCCGGAAUUACUGGGUGAAAGGGGAGUGUAGGCGGGCGUGCAGGUUGAUGGGAAAAGCUACGGGUCAACCUGGGAGCUGCGUUUGAAACUUCCAGGCUUGAGUGUAGUAGAGGCAGGCGGAAUUCCGAGUGUAGCGGUGAAAUGCGUAGAUAUUAGGAGGAACACCAGUGGCGAAGGCGGCCUGCUGGGCGCAGACUGACGCUGAGGCUCGAAAGCGUGGGGAGCAAACAGGAUUAGAUACCCUGGUAGUC